AUUGAACGCUGGCGGCAUGCCUAACACAUGCAAGUCGAGCGGCAGCACAGUGUGUAGCAAUACACAUGGGUGGCGAGUGGCGGACGGGUGAGGAAUACAUAGGAAUCUGCCCUGUAGCGGGGGAUAGUCCGGGGAAACUCGGGGUAAUACCGCAUACGACCUUCGGGUGGAAAGAGGGGGAUCGGAAAGACCUCUCACUAUUGGAUGAGCCUAUGUCGGAUUAGCUAGUUGGUGGGGUAAAGGCCUACCAAGGCGACGAUCCGUAGCUGGUCUGAGAGGACGACCAGCCACACCGGAACUGAGACACGGUCCGGACUCCUACGGGAGGCAGCAGUGGGGAAUAUUGGACAAUGGGCGAAAGCCUGAUCCAGCAAUGCCGCGUGUGUGAAGAAGGCCUUCGGGUUGUAAAGCACUUUAGGCUGGGAAGAAAAGCGCCACCUAAUACGUGGUGCCUUGACGGUACCAGUAGAAUAAGCACCGGCUAACUCUGUGCCAGCAGCCGCGGUAAUACAGAGGGUGCAAGCGUUAAUCGGAUUUACUGGGCGUAAAAGCGUGCGUAGGCGGUUCAGUAUGUCGGUCGNNAAAUCCCGGGCUUAACCUGGGAACUGCGGCCGAAACUGCUGGGCUCGAGUGUGGUAGAGGGCGGUGGAAUUCCGGGUGUAGCGGUGAAAUGCGUAGAGAU
rnacentral:rRNA from 1 species